rnacentral:misc_RNA from 1 species
CUCAAAAAUUUGGAGUCGGCUAUAGCAUAUAGCAUAUAGGUAAGUGUAAAUAAAAAAAAAAUAUGCCAUAAUUAAAAAAAAAAAGUAAAUCUGUUUUUUAAUUUGUUAAUUAGGUUUUGAAAUUUAAGGAAAGAAAUCAUGAAAUCAACAAUUGAAAUUAAUUUUAAUACAUGAAAUAGUAAGUUUAAAACCUAAUUUUAAAUUAAAUGCUUAGCUGCUUAGCUUGGUAGUAAUAAGGUCAAUUUCUUACUAUCUAUUUAGUUACUUUGCUAGUAAAUUGAUUACUUCUAUUGAUAUCUAAGAAUGAUGGAUUUA